rnacentral:rRNA from 1 species
AUUGAACGCUGGCGGAAUGCUUUACACAUGCAAGUCGAACGGCAGCACGGGGGCAGCCCUGGUGGCGAGUGGCGAACGGGUGAGUAAUACAUCGGAACGUGCCCGGUCGUGGGGGAUAACGUAGCGAAAGUUACGCUAAUACCGCAUACGAUCUGAGGAUGAAAGCGGGGGACCUUCGGGCCUCGCGCGAUCGGAGCGGCCGAUGUCAGAUUAGGUAGUUGGUGGGGUAAAGGCCUACCAAGCCGACGAUCUGUAGCUGGUCUGAGAGGAGGACCAGCCACACUGGGACUGAGACACGGCCCAGACUCCUGCGGGAGGCAGCAGUGGGGAAUUUUGGACAAUGGGCGCAAGCCUGAUCCAGCCAUUCCGCGUGCAGGACGAAGGCCUUCGGGUUGUAAACUGCUUUUGUACGGAACGAAAAGGCUCUGGCUAAUACCUGGGGCUCAUGACGGUACCGUAAGAAUAAGCACCGGCUAACUACGUG